rnacentral:tRNA from 1 species
AGUGCGGUGCCUGAAAAAGGAUAAUUUUGAUAGGAUUAAUAAUACAAUUAUAAUGUUCGCACUUCAUUCCCCUUCUAACCAAAA